rnacentral:rRNA from 1 species
CCCUUAGAUGUCCUGGGCCGCACGCGCGCUACACUGAUGCAUUCAACGAGUACUUCCUUGGCCGAGAGGCCUGGGCAAUCUUUUAAACCUGCAUCGUGAUAGGGAUAGAUUAUUGCAAUUAUUAAUCUUGAACGAGGAAUUCCUAGUAAACGCAAAUCAUCAAUUUGCAUUGAUUACGUCCCUGCCCUUUGUACACACCGCCCGUCGCACCUACCGAUUGAAUGGUCCGGUGAAAUCUCGGGAUUGUGGCCAGUUCACUUUAUUGGGAGUUGGCUGCGAGAACUUGCUUAAACCUUAUCAUUUAGAGGAAGGUGAAGUCGUAACA